rnacentral:rRNA from 1 species
CUAUACAUGCAAGUCGAGCGGACAGAUGGGAGCUUGCUCCCUGAUGUUAGCGGCGGACGGGUGAGUAACACGUGGGUAACCUGCCUGUAAGACUGGGAUAACUCCGGGAAACCGGGGCUAAUACCGGAUGGUUGUCUGAACCGCAUGGUUCAGACAUAAAAGGUGGCUUCGGCUACCACUUACAGAUGGACCCGCGGCGCAUUAGCUAGUUGGUGAGGUAACGGCUCACCAAGGCGACGAUGCGUAGCCGACCUGAGAGGGUGAUCGGCCACACUGGGACUGAGACACGGCCCAGACUCCUACGGGAGGCAGCAGUAGGGAAUCUUCCGCAAUGGACGAAAGUCUGACGGAGCAACGCCGCGUGAGUGAUGAAGGUUUUCGGAUCGUAAAGCUCUGUUGUUAGGGAAGAACAAGUGCCGUUCAAAUAGGGCGGCACCUUGACGGUACCUAACCAGAAAGCCACGGCUAACUACGUGCCAGCAGCCGCGGUAAUACGUAGGUGGCAAGCGUUGUCCGGAAUUAUUGGGCGUAAAGGGCUCGCAGGCGGUUUCUUAAGUCUGAUGUGAAAGCCCCCGGCUCAACCGGGGAGGGUCAUUGGAAACUGGGGAACUUGAGUGCAGAAGAGGAGAGUGGAAUUCCACGUGUAGCGGUGAAAUGCGUAGAGAUGUGGAGGAACACCAGUGGCGAAGGCGACUCUCUGGUCUGUAACUGACGCUGAGGAGCGAAAGCGUGGGGAGCGAACAGGAUUAGAUA